UGAGGAAUAUUGGUCAAUGGGCGAGAGCCUGAACCAGCCAAAUCGCGUGAAGGAAGACUGCCUUAUGGGUUGUAAACUUCUUUUAUACAGGAAUAAAAAAGGGGACGUGUCCCUUAUUGCAUGUACUGUAUGAAUAGGCAUCGGCUAACUCCGUGCCAGCAGCCGCGGUAAUACGGAGGAUGCGAGCGUUAUCCGGAUUUAUUGGGUUUAAAGGGUGCGCAGGCGGGCUUUUAAGUCAGCGGUGAAAUCUCGGGGCUUAACUCCGAAACUGCCGUUGAAACUGGGAGUCUUGAGUAUGGAUGAAGUAGGCGGAAUUCGUUGUGUAGCGGUGACAUGCUUAGAUAUAACGAGGAACUCCGAUUGCGUAGGCAGCUUACUAAGCCAUAACUGACGCUCAGACGAAAGCGUGGGGAUCAAAACAGGAUUAGAUACCCUGGUAGUCCACGCCGUAAACGAUGAUUACUAGUUGUAUGCGAUAUACCGUAUGUGACUAAGCGAAAGCGAUAAGUAAUCCACCUGGGGAGUACGCCGGCAACGGUGAAACUUAAAUGAAUUGACGGGGUCAUAGCUGUUUCCUG
rnacentral:rRNA from 1 species